UCUUAAUAAUUUAUAUAUUUUAUUUAUAUAGAAAAUUUAAAAUAUUAUAUUUAUAAUUAUUUUGUUGGGGUGACAAUAAAAUUUAAUAAACUUUUAUAUAAAUUUUACAUAAAUUAAUGAAUAGUUGAUCCAUUAUUAGUGAUUAAUAAAUUAAGU
rnacentral:rRNA from 1 species